AGUGGUAGGUAGGCUACCUGGCAGUUAAUAGAUAUCACAAAUGUUCCUUCACUUGAGACUGAUUUAGAAAGGGAGUCUCUGGAUUACACCCAAACUACACCACGUAUAACAACACUGCCCAACCCUCCAGGACUCCAAGACCCAAAACAGAACCAUGUGAGACCAUGUUUGGCUGAGGAAACACUAUGAACAUUGACGUGAAAUAUGGCGAGCCCUCUUAUUGUCUGGCAUGUUUCCCAGACAGCCUCCUAAAGAACAGGCAGUUCAAGACCAACCAGGAAGUCGAGCCUGAAUCCCCCUCAAGUUUUCCCAUGGUGAGACUGCCUGAAACCAGUGUUGUGUGUCUGUGUGUACUGAUUAAUUAUUUAUAGCUAGACCUUCAUUGGGACAUCUAAUCUGCAGGGUACAUGAUGUUACGUUCCCCAGUUUCUGUUUUGUAUGUGUUUGUGUGUAUUUCAGGAAAUGGCUUCCUGAAGUCCAAAGCAGCUGAUUGGUUGGCCCCAUCGAUGAUUGGAGCUCUGACCCCGCACUCUUGUCAGGGGAUACAGCUGUCUGCAAUAUCCGACUUCUUCUGCAGCUUUAAAAGCCAUUGUUCCUUUGUUAGGAGAGAGAGCUUCUUGGGAGGAAGGGGAAGGCACCUUGGGAGUGCUUAGGCAAGAGGCCUGCGGGCAGACAUAUAUCCGUAGUAUGUGCUCUGUCUAUGCACACUAGGUAAGACCUGGGCAGACCAUCCCCUGUAUUUUGGUUUCGCACGCCAGGUGGCGCAAAGAAUAGGUAAGUGGUACGUAAGGUAGGAGAGGGGGCUCUUUUACUUUCUGUGCUUUGAUUCCGUCCAGCCCCUUUUCCCCACCUUACCGUGUGAAGGAAAUAAAUUCCCUGUUAAUGGUAAA